rnacentral:tRNA from 1 species
CCAUGUUGAUUAGUUUAAGUAAAACAUAAACUUUGUAAGUUUAAAUUCUAAAUACUAA